rnacentral:rRNA from 1 species
AUUGAACGCUGGCGGCAUGCCUUACACAUGCAAGUCGAACGGUAACAGGUCUUCGGAUGCUGACGAGUGGCGAACGGGUGAGUAAUACAUCGGAACGUGCCCGAUCGUGGGGGAUAACGAAGCGAAAGCUUUGCUAAUACCGCAUAAGAUCUACGGAUGAAAGCAGGGGACCGCCAGGCCUUGCGCGAACUGAGCGGCCGAUGGCAGAUUAGGUAGUUGGUGGGAUAAAAGCUUACCAAGCCGACGAUCUGUAGCUGGUCUGAGGGGACGACCAGCCAGACUGGGAUUGAGACACGGCCCAGACUCCUACGGGAGGCAGCAGUGGGGAAUUUUGGACAAUGGGCGAAAGCCUGAUCCAGCCAUGCCGCGUGCAGGAUGAAGGCCUUCGGGUUGUAAACUGCUUUUGUACGGAACGAAAAGCCCUGGGUUAAUACCCUGGGGUCAUGACGGUACCGUAAGAAUAAGCACCGGCUAACUACGUGCCAGCCGCCGCGGUAAUAC